rnacentral:ncRNA from 13 species
AGCUUCUUAACUCAGGGGUAGAGUGCGAGGCCCAUAACCUCGAGGUCCUAGGAUCGAAACCUAGAGAAGCUA